CACACAUGGAUGUGGACAUGCAGAUGGGAGCACACACAUGAGCACACAUACUGAGACCUUUGAUUGUGGGAGUUGAUGGCUACUGCAGCUUUCUUCUCUGUGGAAUGAAUCUACCCAUCUUUGUCCUCUACCUGCAAAGGCAGGAGUCUAGCAUGCCUGUCCUCUGAGAAGUUACAUCAAGCAGUUGACUCAGAUAAAUGCAGAGACCCACAGCCAAACAUUGGAUGGAGCUCAGGGACUCUUGUGGAAUAGUUGGGGAAGGAUUUCAAGCCAUGAAGAAGAUAGAAACACCAUAGAAAACCAACAUUAACUAACCUGGACCCUUGGAGCUCUCAGAGACUGAACCACCAAC